GGUAGCCACCAUGAAGAAGACGGUCUUUUGCUGUAGACACCCAUGAAGAAGAAGGUCUUCACUGUGAGCCACCAUGAAGAAGAAGGUAUUGCCAAAGGAGAUUAACAUUUGAGUCAGUGGACUGGGAGAGGCAGAUCCACCCUCAGUCUGAGUGGGCACCAUCUAAUCAGCUUCCAGAGUGGCUAGGAUAAAAGCAGGCAGAAGUUGGAAGGACUUGACUUGCUGAGUUUUCCAGCCUUCAUCUUUCUCUGGCACUGGAUGCUUCCUGCCUUCGAACAUCAGCCUCCAAGUUCUUCAGCUUUUGGACUCUUGGACUUAUACCAGUGGUUUGCCAGAGGCUCUUGGGCCUUUGGCCACAGACUGGAGGCUGCACUGUCAGCUUCCCAACUUGUGAGGUUUUGGGACUCAGACUGAUCCAUCACUGGCUUCCUUGCUCCUCAAUUUGCGGACGGCCUAUCAUGGGACUUUAUCUUGUGAUCAUACUCCAAGGGCCUACAUAAGGAACAGUAGGAACACCAAGUAGUCCAGAGUGGCUACAGGACAAUAGAAAUGCCUAGAACUGUGCUUCCCAGGAAGUAGAACAGAACAGUAGGUAAUUAUUCAUCCAUGAAUAUACCACAGCCAAAUCUGUGAAAUCCAGGCUGGUAAAAUUGUAUUUAAUUGCAUAAGCAGAAGGGCACCUCUGUGAGCUUCUGCGAAUAACG